rnacentral:rRNA from 1 species
GAGUUUGAUCGUGGCUCAGAUUGAACGCUGGCGGCAGGCCUAACACAUGCAAGUCGAGCGGAUGACGGGAGCUUGCUCCUUGAUUCAGCGGCGGACGGGUGAGUAAUGCCUAGGAAUCUGCCUGGUAGUGGGGGACAACGUUUCGAAAGGACGCUAAUACCGCAUACGUCCUACGGGAGAAAGCAGGGGACCUUCGGGCCUUGCGCUAUCAGAUGAGCCUAGGUCGGAUUAGCUAGUUGGUGGGGUAAUGGCUCACCCAAGGCGACGAUCCGUAACUGGUCUGAGAGGAUGAUCAGUCACACUGGAACUGAGACACGGUCCAGACUCCUACGGGAGGCAGCAGUGGGGAAUAUUGGACAAUGGGCGAAAGCCUGAUCCAGCCAUGCCGCGUGUGUGAAGAAGGUCUUCGGAUUGUAAAGC